UGAUAUGUGAUGUCUCUUGUUGACAUGGCAUUGUACUGCCAGCUUGUGUGGCAAAUCUUGUCAUUUGCAGAGGCUUGGGAUUUGUGCAGGAGCCAAAAAGGCUGAUAUCACUGUGUGCAUGCAGCUAUAGAUCACUGGUCACUGGACCACUUGUCUGAUGUGGCACGGCAUGUGCCACCCCUGCAUUUCCUGUGUUUGGUCAUUGAACAUACCCAUGCUCUGCUAUUGAAUGCCUGUUGGCAUACAGUAAGUUUGUGGCAUGGCUGACAAGUUUGGCCCAUGCAUCAUGAGCCAUUGGGCACUCCCAAAAGUGAAUCAGGAUGUUUGAGUGUAGGGUUACAAUGUCAAAUAUGUUUCACAGUUUUAGUUGCCAUUCACUGCAGCUGUUCCUGCCAUGCAUGUCUGCAUUACUGUCUGCUGAUCGCAGGUCGGGCACGUAACCUCCGCUGCUGUCACCACGGAAUGGAGGCAGUGCUGCAUGUGGAUCAUCCCAAGUCACAUCAGUCUCUGAAUGAUUGCAAACUCAGGCCUCUACUCGCUAUUCGGUCCUCCAGAUGUCUUCAUUAUAUCAUCAUUGGUGCAUAUGUCAACAUUCUGCAUUUGACCAAGUUGGGGAAAUUUUCCACUUACAGGAGUUGCUUCUCCAUUGCCUGCCCUGGUCAGUCAGAAUGUUGAGGACAUAUCAGUGAUCCCAAGUCACCAGUCUGCAGGGAGGCACCACUGAGGAAACCACCAUCUUGUGGUGGGAUGCCCGCCCAUCUGAUUCUGCGUUCGGCACCGUUGCUCGGCUAGCCAGAACAAUUGAAACGUCAUUGACCCAAGUGUCAAUUCACUUGGUCAGGACCGCAUGAGAGGUUGAUGUAUGUAUGCCACCCGUGGCACUUGUGGCACUGCAGCACCGGUCUGCUUGGAGCAAGUUUAUGAAACCGCCAUGUUGUGGUAAGAGGAAUAUGUGAUCACUACAUUGUGUGUGAUAAUUAACUAUGAUGAAUUUUAGCUAUAUGCCGAGGUUGGGAGCUCACAACAGAGCCAGAAAUGGCUGAACCCACUGUUGUGCCCACUGUUGUAGAUCAUUGGUUGAUGUCUGAAUGGAUGUGGCAUGCACCUCUGGCUGCUCCUCAUGCUGUGUCCUUGAUCCAUUCACUUCACUCGCAGGUGGGAUGCCCGCCCAUCUGAUUCUGCGUUCGGCACCGUUGCUCGGCUAGCCAGAACAAUUGAAACGUCAUUGACCCAAGUGUCAAUUCACUUGGUCAGGACCGCAUGAGAGGUUGAUGUAUGUAUACCACCCGUGGCACUUGCGGCACUGCAGCACCAGUCUGCUUGGAGCAAGUUUAUGAAACCGCCUUGUUGUGGUAAGAGGAAUAUGUGAUCACUACAUUGUGUGUGAUAAUUAACUAUGAUGAAUUUUAGCUAUAUGCCGAGGUUGGGAGCUCACAACAGAGCCAGAAAUGGCUGAACCCACUGUUGUGCCCACUGUUGUAGAUCACUGGCUGCCGUCUGACAUCUGGUUGUAGUCGCCGAUGUGGUCGGUCUUGUGCUGUGUCGUGACCUUCGGCUGUUUCGCACAGGUAUGCUGUGCGCCGCCUCUGCUCGGUCGCUUGCAGCCGCUGGCGGGACUCGGCCGAGCGAUGCUCGACUUCCAGGCUACCCAGCCGUCUCCGAGGACCGACACCGGGCGUGCGUCCGGGUCUGCUCCUCACGACGGCUGGUCACCUGAGUCGGCGCCGCACAGCCGUGUUGUGAUUGGCUGCGCUGGGACGCGUCUGAGGUCGUACUCGCUGCUGUCAUUAAUGGACCCGAUAUGUUAGUUCGAUUUUGUUUCCGAAGUUGCUGGAUGCAGCGUUGGAAUUGUGUCCUGUACCGUAUCGCUGUACAUUAGCCUUUCGAUAUUCUUGCGCCCGGGAUGGUUCGGCACCCAGUCGGUUUGUGGCUUGAGACGUUUGUCCAUCACCAACCAUGUUUUUAUAUUAACCAGACUUCUGGAGAGAUCAUGUCAUUUGAAGAAGGUAGUGUGUCUUUCCAAAAACACUUGCUAGCGUUUACAUCGGCAGUGCGUCGGCCACACAUUUGAAUAGGGAAGGUAGCGUACCGCCAAAUCUGGGAGGAAAACACCGUUGUCACAAAACAAUAAAAGGGAACAGCACCGUUAACUGUGACUCCAACACGGAACAUCCAACAUUCAUCGACUGACACUGUCCUUCGGCAAUCGCAUGUAGUCUACGGUGAAAUGUAUGAAACUAUGUAGUGCGGAAUUUCGCGGCGCUUCUGCGCGAGGCCCACCAGGUGAGCCAGUGUGCAGUCCACAGGCAUGCCAAAGAUGGAUUUCAGACUGAGGCUGCUUCAGGCUAUGGACCUCGGGCUUUUUGUGCCACCGCCUCGACAGGUGGUGGCGACACGUCAUCACGGUGCGGUGGAGCUGGUGUCGGGGGAGGAGGGGAGAGACGUGGGGAUUGGCUGGGCUGGAUCGGCCUGUCGUGUGGUCGUGCCAAGCCUCCUAACGCGCUCGACGUCCACGGUUACGUGGCCACGAAGUGGUCCCGUCCCCACAGGCAGCCGAUGGUCGAUCCUGACUAUCGGCCCGGGGAAGGAGACGGUCCGGAGGCUCGGCGGAUGUGUCGGCUCGCCUGAGCCAGGCUGGAGGUGCUACGUCGGCCUGGGUUCCCACGGAGAUGUUAAUUUUCCAUUGAAGUGGGGAGUGUGUGAUUAAGACCUAAUAGGAGAACGCGUCUAUUGUUAUCCGCUAGCUGAGAGCUGGAGUUAUGUUGAUGGUUGAAUAAAUGCCGGAAUGCGCUG